GCGCUGAUGGUGUGGGGCGUAGCAUCGCUGCCCGAAAAGCAGAAACUGCGGGUUCGAAUCCCGCCUGGUGCA
rnacentral:tRNA from 1 species